UAAAUUCCUAGGAUUUCUGGCUUUUUUGGUCCAAAAGGUCUGCACAAUAGACAAAGGACGAUUGUUAGCUGCCAGAUAAAAAUUUUUCGGGGUGUGGUUAAAGAAGUACGAUGUUAAGAACAUAGAUUAAGAGGAAGAGAUGAACAGGGUUAAAAAAAUAAUAAAAAAAAAACUCUGGGGAACAUAAGAAUGAAAACAUGAAGAAACAGUAGGAAAGAGGGAGUACUGAGUAGGUUUUUACAAACUGAUAUAUCAUUAGUCACUAAAAAAUUGAAAUUUACCAUUGGUUGUAUCGAAACGGUUCUUUAGCAUUAGUUUGUUUUUGAACUACUUUAU
rnacentral:lncRNA from 1 species